AGUCUUAGGAUGGAAAAGGUAAAGAAAUAUCAAUUUCAAGUUGGCAAGUAACUCUCAAUGAUUUAGUUUUUGUUUCCCCCAGUUUUUGAAUUGGGAAGCUGGGGGAAGUUAUAUAUGAGCCACUGGGUGUUCCAGUGCAUUAAUUUGGGCAAGGAAAGUGUCAUAAUUUGAUACUGUAUCUGUUUUCCUUCAAAGUAUAGAGCUUGGGGAAGGAAAGUAUUGAACGGGGGGUUGGUCUGGCCCACUGGGCUGACAUUUAACUACAAUUAUGGGAAAUGCAAAAGUUGUUUGGAUAUGGUAGUGUGUGGUUCUCUUUUGGAAUUUUUUUCAGGUGAUUUAAUAAUAAUUUAAAACUACUAUAGAAACUUCAGAGCAAAGGAAGUGGCUUAAUGAUCCUGAAGGGAUUUCUUCUGAUGGUAGCUUUUGUAUUAUCAAACUUCACAGAGAAUGCAGUUGUCUUGACUUCAGGUCUGUCUGUUCUGUUGGCAAGUAAAUGGCAGUACUGUUCUGAUCCCGCUGCUAUUAGAAUGCAUUGUGAAACGACUGGAGUAUGAUUAAAAGUUGUGUUCCCCAA
rnacentral:lncRNA from 1 species